GUGGCACGCAAGACAACUUCAACACUUCUCGUGCUUGUUUAUUGUGAUCUUUGGAAGGAGCACAAUGUGAGAGUCUUCAACAACAAAUCUUCGUCGUCGACCAUUGUCUUUUUGCGCAUUCGCUUUGAGUCUAAAAAUUGGGUCUUGGCGUGGGCCAAAAGCUUGGGUAAUAUUAUGCCAGGAGAGCAGACUUUUGUUUCUGGCCUUUAG
rnacentral:rRNA from 1 species